CGUGAUUCUAGAAUAUUAUAUGCAAUGAAAUAUGUAAGUCGAGGAGCUCGUGAGGACCGCGAGCCUUGGGUGGUGUUAUCAAAGAGGUUGAAUUACUUUCGUCAUUGGAGUUUCCUUUUUUGGUGAAUUUAUGGUUUUCUUUUCAAGAUGAGGAGGACUUAUUUAUGACUUACUUUAUGAGGUAUCAGAUAUCACCUUCAACAAAGGGCCACGCACAUUUGACUGAUUUUAACAUAGCGACGAAACUGCCAAAGGACGGAAUGGCUUGUAGUAUGUAAUGGACCAAACCCUAUAUGGCGCCAGAGGUCCUUAUGUGUGCUCUGGAUGAAAUCGCUGGUUAAAGUUUUCCGGUCGAUUGGUGGUCAUUGGGUGUUGUGGGAUACAGGCCUUUUAUCGUUCACUCAAAUAAACCACUAGCUGAAGUAAAACAUAUCCCGCAUUAUCCUCUGCAUUAUCCAAGGCAUUGGAAUAUCAGUUUAGUCGACC